UGCAGUCGAGCGGAUGAAGGAGCUUGCUCCUUGAUUUAGCGGCGGACGGGUGAGUAAUGCCUAGGAAUCUGCCUGGUAGUGGGGGAUAACGUUCCGAAAGGAACGCUAAUACCGCAUACGUCCUACGGGAGAAAGCAGGGGACCUUCGGGCCUUGCGCUAUCAGAUGAGCCUAGGUCGGAUUAGCUAGUUGGUGAGGUAAUGGCUCACCAAGGCGACGAUCCGUAACUGGUCUGAGAGGAUGAUCAGUCACACUGGAACUGAGACACGGUCCAGACUCCUACGGGAGGCAGCAGUGGGGAAUAUUGGACAAUGGGCGAAAGCCUGAUCCAGCCAUGCCGCGUGUGUGAAGAAGGUCUUCGGAUUGUAAAGCACUUUAAGUUGGGAGGAAGGGCAGUAAGCUAAUACCUUGCUGUUUUGACGUUACCGACAGAAUAAGCACCGGCUAACUUCGUGCCAGCAGCCGCGGUAAUACGAAGGGUGCAAGCGUUAAUCGGAAUUACUGGGCGUAAAGCGCGCGUAGGUGGUUCGUUAAGUUGGAUGUGAAAGCCCCGGGCUCAACCUGGGAACUGCAUCCAAAACUGGCGAGCUAGAGUACGGUAGAGGGUGGUGGAAUUUCCUGUGUAGCGGUGAAAUGCGUAGAUAUAG
rnacentral:rRNA from 1 species